GGUCCCAUAGCUCAGUUGGUUAGAGCGUCGUACUAAUAUUACGAUUUCAAGUUGUAAUGUCAGUAAAUGCGAAGGCCGUGAGUUCAAGCCUCACUGGGACCA